GGGGAGUUUGAAGUUUGGUGGGAUCGGUUCCUGCAUGAUCAUUUGAGAAAAGGGAGGGUCAGUGCAAAUAUCCUCACCAUAAGCGGGGGGAGCGUGGUGGAGUUCUUCGAUCCAUCGGUUCAUCUCCUGGAGUCUCCGGUCUAGGAAAUCCUCUCGACUUCGGGUCUCGAGGGUCCUCUGACAGAAUGGGGGCAGGGAUCUUCCAGGGGUGGAGUCGUGAUCCGAUUGAGGGCUCUCCACCCUCGGGUUUGUCUUCCCAGGA
rnacentral:lncRNA from 1 species